CCUUAACCGAGAAACUCCAGAAAAGGCGGUGACAUCAGCAAAAGGGAGCCAACUCCUUCCCCGUCUGCCGUUUUGUACUCUUGGCCUAACGUUGACUCAAAACAGCAACUUGGAGCCUUCCCUGACCUGUUGGCAUUCCUUUAUCAUCCAACUCCUGCUUCGGGAAAAUUUGUUUCUGUCUGUCUCCAAGAUACAAAAUCAAAAAGGUGUUUUAAUCCUGAGGAAGAGUGUGAGUCUGGGAAAAUUUUGGAUCACCGAGGUGCAGCCAUACCUUCCACAGCCAUCACUGUUGCUUACAACUCACAUGCCAAGAAUUGCAAGAUGAAGAUGGUGAUCAGGAGGCAUGACUUGGAAGAAGAGCCCAAGGACCGUAGCAAGGCCCUGAUUCUGGGAGACGAGAGAACACGCUGACUUAGAAUGCUUGUCUCUGCAUCCUGGUCAGAAAGUAGAUGGACGACACUUUCAUCUCCGACUGGAUUUUGGUGAGAGAUGGGCAAACCCCGGGCUCUAGGCUGGAGCAGCAGCUCUUGUAUCCACACAAAAUCAGGACUGGUGGAGGGAGCCAUCUUCAAACAUAAAUUUGUUGAACCUCUUGGCUGGGCCAGUACCCGAAAAGCCACACCGAAUAAUCUUGGGGAAUAGCUGUGCGACCAUCCUUUCCCAGCAUGCUCAGGAUUCUGCAAAUGUCCUCUGCCUUCUCUAAGGCCCCCAUCUCCCUUUCAGGGUUCUGUAGCGUGUGUUCAACUUCUGGCCUGUGUCUUUCACUGUGUCGGGGUAUUUUUAGGGGGAUAGAAUAGGGUGAGAAGCAACAGGAACUAUCAUGACUGGGGGGAAUAGGCAGGCCCAGUAUUAACGUGGCGUGUGUGUGUGUGUGUGUGUGUGUGUGUGUGUGUGUGUGUGUGUAUUUGUGUGAAUGUGUGCAUGUGUGUGUUUGUGUUUGUGCAUAGCACCUCAAGUGUAGGCAUCUUUAUUCCCAAGACAGCCCUUGCCAAAGACAGGGUCAAGUCACAUGCUCUUAGACCUGAUAAUUCUGCUUAUGUGAUUUUCACUUCAAAUGAUUUCCUGUUAGGCAUAAAGGUUUCUACUAAAGAAAAAUUUAAGGUCCUCACACAAGCCACUUCUGCUCCUCCACUUCUUAAAGAACCAAGUUAGAUUUUAGUGCAUUCAGCAUGGGGCAAAACAGUGUCUAUUAAUUAGACUUUCAUUUCUAUUGACAAUGGGGCCUACAGGCCUUGCACUGAGGUGGACACAGACCUUUUGUGGUGCCCUGUUGAUCCUGGUUCUGCUCGUGGAAAAUUAGGCCUGAUUGCCCUAUGAAGGCCCCUUCUCUAGUUUCCCUCUCUCACCUGCUAAGUCUCCAUUCUUCCUCUAACUGCUUUAAAUAGGUCAGCUGAGUUUCAUUCUUACAGUCAUCAGGCCUUUGGUGAAGGCAUCUGUGCUCUUGCUGAAGUCUGCAACAUUUCCCAACAUGCAGGCCAAGGGCCCUUCUCUUUCGGUCUGACCACUUGUCUGUUCAUGCAUGCAUGCUUUCAUUCAUUCAGAAAAUGUGUCAAGAAAAGAGCACAUGAUUUGGAGGCAGACGUAAUUCAGUGGUGUGCCGGAGUGGGAUAUUUCCAGCUUGCAAAAGCGGAUUGCUAAAUUUGUAAGUGUUUUGCAGCUGGUUUUUAAACAUAUAUUAAAAAUGAAAUUGUAGAAAAUUGCAAUUAAAUAAAUUAUAUCAAAAACAGAAAAUAAAUAC
rnacentral:lncRNA from 1 species